rnacentral:rRNA from 1 species
CCUACGGGAGGCAGCAGUGAGGAAUAUUGGUCAAUGGGAGCGAUCCUGAACCAGCUAAGCCGCGUGAGGGAAGACGGCCCUAUGGGUUGUAAACCGCUUUUGUCCGAGAACAAAACCCGGUACGUGUCUCGGACUGCGUGUAUCCGAAGAAAAAGCAUCGGCUAACUCCGUGCCAGCAGCCGCGGUAAUACGGAGGAUCCGAGCGUUAUCCGGAUUUAUUGGGUUUAAAGGGUGCGUAGGCGGUCGGAUAAGUUAGAGGUGAAAUCCCGAGGCUCAACUUCGGAACUGCCUCUGAUACUGUUCGACUAGAGAAUAGUUGCGGUAGGCGGAAUGUAUGGUGUAGCGGUGAAAUGCUUAGAGAUCAUACAGAACACCGAUUGCGAAGGCAGCUUACCAAGCUACUUCUGACGUUGAGGCACGAAAGCGUGGGGAGCAAACAGGAUUAGAUACCCUAGUAGUC